rnacentral:sRNA from 1 species
UGUGGUGAAGACACUGACGCGGCACCACCUGUACUGCGAGCCCCCCGUGGAGCAGCCCCUGCCACGGCACCAUGCCCUCCGAGAGGCACCUGACUCUUUGCCUGAGUUCACGGUCAGUGGGCAGGUCCCUGGCCGGGCUGGGCAUUGACCUGGGCCGAACCCUCGCUCACAGGUGGCUCCCGACACAGGUGCAGAUGGGGAACUUGCGCUUCUCCCUGGGUCACGUGCAGUAUGACGGCGAGAGCCCUGGGGCUUUUCCUGUGGCAGCCCAGGUGGGCUUGGGGGUGGGCACCUCUCUUCUGGCUCUGGGUGUCAUCAUCAUUGUCCUCAUGUACAGGUGGGUGCAGCCAGAUGUGGCUGGGCUGGGGCAGGUCGUGGGAUCUGGCUGGACUGGGAAGGGACAGACUGGGCCAGAAGUCAGGAAACAUUCUCUGUAAAUGGCCGGAGAGUAAAUAUUUUACACUUUGCAGGCCAAGUGGUCUCUGCUCAACAACUCAACUUUGCCACUGUGGCACAAAGGCAGCCAGGGACGACAUGGAAACACAUGAAAGUGGCUGUGUUCUAACAAAUCUUUAUUUAUAAAAAUAGGUUGUGGGAUGGAUUUGGCCUGGUUGUGGUUGGCUGAUCUCGAGACUAAACUGUGCUGGGCUAGACAGGGCAUGGGUGUGUGUGACUUGCUUGGGAGGGGACAGGCUGAAUUGUACUGGGCUAGGCUUGAGCUUGGCUGGCAUGGCUGCGUUGGACUGUGCUGGAUGAGGCCAGGGUGUGCCUGGGGAUCGUCAGGCAGGCCUGAGCCAGUAGGACUCAUCCGGCCAUCCACUCCUGACCCUGGGGCUGAGCAGGAGGAAGAGCAAGCAGGCCCUGAGGGACUAUAAGAAGGUUCAGAUCCAGCUGGAGAAUCUGGAGAGCAGUGUGCGGGAUCGCUGCAAGAAGGAAUUCACAGACCUCAUGACUGAGAUGACCGAUCUCACCAGUGACCUCCUGGGCAGUGGCAUCCCCUUCCUUGACUACAAGGUGUAUGCAGAGAGGAUCUUCUUCCCUGGGCACCGCGAGUCGCCCUUGCAUCGGGACCUGGGUGUGCCUGAGAGCAGACGGCCCACCGUGGAGCAAGGGCUGGGGCAGCUCUCUAACCUGCUCAACAGCAAGCUCUUCCUCACCAAGUUCAUCCACACGCUGGAGAGCCAGCGCACCUUUUCAGCUCGGGACCGUGCCUACGUGGCAUCUCUGCUCACCGUGGCUCUGCAUGGGAAGCUUGAGUAUUUCACUGACAUCCUCCGCACUCUGCUCAGUGACCUGGUUGCCCAGUAUGUGGCCAAGAACCCCAAGCUGAUGCUGCGCAGGACAGAGACCGUGGUGGAGAAGCUGCUCACCAACUGGAUGUCCAUCUGUCUGUACACCUUCGUGAGGGACUCUGUAGGGGAGCCUCUGUACAUGCUCUUUCGAGGGAUUAAGCAUCAAGUGGAUAAGGGGCCAGUGGACAGUGUGACAGGCAAGGCCAAAUACACCUUGAACGACAACCGCCUGCUCAGAGAGGAUGUGGAGUACCGUCCCCUGACCUUGAAUGCACUAUUGGCUGUGGGGCCUGGGGCAGGAGAGGCCCAGGGCGUGCCCGUGAAGGUUCUAGACUGUGACACCAUCUCCCAGGCAAAGGAGAAGAUGCUAGACCAGCUUUAUAAAGGAGUGCCUCUCACCCAGCGGCCAGACCCUCGCACACUUGAUGUUGAGUGGCGGUCUGGGGUGGCUGGGCACCUCAUUCUUUCUGACGAGGAUGUCACUUCUGAGGUCCAGGGUCUGUGGAGGCGCCUGAACACACUGCAACAUUACAAGGUAGGAGGGGUGGGAGCUGGAGGAGGGCAUGGUGGGGUGGGACUGGUGGAGGGAUCACCAGCUGUGCUCAGCAGGUCCCAGAUGGAGCAACUGUGGCCCUCGUCCCCUGCCUCACCAAGCAUGUGCUCCGGGAAAACCAGGAUUAUGUCCCUGGAGAGCGGACCCCAAUGCUGGAGGAUGUAGAUGAGGGGGGCAUCCGGCCCUGGCACCUGGUGAAGCCAAGUGAUGAGCCGGAGCCGCCCAGGCCUCGGAGGGGCAGCCUUCGGGGCGGGGAGCGUGAGCGUGCCAAGGCCAUCCCUGAGAUCUACCUGACCCGCCUGCUGUCCAUGAAGGGCACCCUGCAGAAGUUCGUGGAUGAUCUAUUCCAGGUGAUUCUCAGCACCAGCCGCCCCGUGCCACUUGCUGUGAAGUACUUCUUUGACCUGCUGGAUGAGCAGGCCCAGCAGCAUGGCAUCUCCGACCAGGACACCAUCCACAUCUGGAAGACCAACAGCUUGCCUCUGAGGUUCUGGAUCAAUAUAAUAAAAAACCCGCAGUUUGUGUUCGACGUGCAAACAUCUGAUAACAUGGAUGCGGUGCUCCUUGUCAUUGCACAGACCUUCAUGGAUGCCUGCACCCUGGCCGACCACAAGCUGGGCCGGGACUCCCCAAUCAACAAACUUCUGUAUGCACGGGACAUCCCCCGGUACAAGCGGAUGGUGGAAAGGUACUAUGCAGACAUCAGACAGACUGUCCCAGCCAGCGACCAAGAGAUGAACUCUGUCCUGGCUGAACUGUCCUGGAACUACUCCGGAGACCUCGGGGCGCGAGUGGCCCUGCAUGAACUCUACAAGUACAUCAACAAGUACUAUGACCAGAUCAUCACUGCCCUGGAGGAGGAUGGCACGGCCCAGAAGAUGCAGCUGGGCUAUCGGCUCCAGCAGAUUGCAGCUGCUGUGGAAAACAAGGUCACAGAUCUAUAGGGACCCAGGAGCCACGGCCAGCUGUUGCUUCAGCCUGGCCUGGGCAGCCCUGGAAGCUCUGGGGAGAGGCCACCUUCUUAGGUGCCUGUAGUGACUGACAAGCAGAGUUAGUGGAAGGCGACUCCCAGUCUCCUGGUGGCUCUGGCCUUGGCACUGCUGGAUCCACCUCCUAGGCCCGGGGCCUCAAGGCUCAUGGGGUAGUACCCAGCCUGCUCCCCGAGUCCAGUGACCCUGUGAUACUGGUCUGCAGGGACCUGGGGACUAAGGGCUUUCAGACAGUGGCCGGAAGAGCCUCCAGGCCCCUGGGGAGACUGUACUGUUCCUGAACACUGGCCUUGGCCACACUGGGAUUUGGAGAGGAAGGAGGAGAGCUCCACGCUUCCUGUCUGCCUCCUCCACCAUCCCUGACCUCAGUUGAGCUGCCUCUGGCCUUGUUGCUGCUGCCACAUCCUAGGUCUAAGAGUUGAACGCCUCUCCUAGGCCACUACAAACUGACCCCUCAGCAGGGCUGGCUGCCACAGGGCUGCCCUGCCUCAUAGGUAGCCAUGGUGAGGGCUAUCUGCUGCAGGGGGGGUCUUGGGGAGAGUGGUGGCUCCAUUGACCCAGCUUUUCAUUAAAGGAUAACACACUG